CACCAAUGGAAGUUUACAGGUGACCAGCCCUAAUUAAACCAUCUGUAAGUGGCACACGAUCAUUUUCAAUGCUAGAAAGAACGCAGCCCUGAGCCAGCACGACCACCUCGCUUCUGUGAUUCCAGCUCACGAUGCUGCCUGGGCUCUCCUGGGCAGCACCCCAAGUCCGUGCCACGUUGGCAUCCCAAAUCCAUGCAACACUGGCAUCCCAGGACUUUGCUGCACUGGCACCCUUGCAAAACUGGCACUUCAAGUCCUUACCACAUUGGCAUCCCAAGUCCUUGCCAAAUUGGCACCCAAGUCUUUGCCAUAUUGGGAUCCCAAGCCUUCACCAUCUUGGCAUCCCAAGCCUUUGCCACCUUGGCAUCCCAAGUCUUUGCCAAAUUGGCAUCUCAAGUCCUUGCCAAAUUGGCAUCCCAGGACUUUGCCACAUUGGCACCCCAAGUCUUUGCCACACUGGGAUCCCAAGUCUUCACCAUCUUGGCAUCCCAAGACCUUGCCAAAUUGGCAUCCCAAGUCUUUGCCACAUUGGUACCCCAAACUUUUGCCACAUUGGCAUCCUAAGUCUUUGCCAUCUUAGCAUCCCAGGACUUUGCUGCACUGGCAUCCCAAGUCUUCACCAUCUUGGCAUCCCAAAUCCUUGCCAAAUUGGCAUCCCAAGUCUUUGCCACAUUGGUACCCCAAACUUUUGCCACAUUGGCAUCCCAAGUCUUUGCCAUCUUAGCAUCCCAGGAGUUUGCUGCACUGGCAUCCCAAGUCUUUGCCAUAUUGGCAUCCCAAGACCUUGCCAAAUUGACAUCCCAAGUCUUUGCCACAUUGGCAUCCCAAGCCCUCGUCCAUUGGCAUCCCAAUUCUUCACUGUGCCCAACAGCACUCGGGGAAACGUCUCCCAUGGCCCACAAAGUCUGCCCCGAGAUCCCCGGGCUGCAGUCUGCUCCCCCCGGCAGAGCAGCCCCUGCAGAUCAGCUUUGUCUCUGUCAGCCCCCUCCAAAUUCCUGCACUAAUCCCCAUCCUCUCCAGUUUCAGUUACAAUUUUCCACAUGGCAGAGUAUCAAAAGCUUUGCUGAACUCCGGCUACAUUGGAUCUGCCCCACGUCUUUCAUCCAGGAGGGGAUUUUGUGCUCAGAGGAGAGGUGAGGACGUUCAAUGGGUUUCUGUUAAAUCUCUCCUUUUAUCUCCUCUCCAUUUAGCCGUAUGGCUCCAGUUGCUCUUUAGGAUCACUUCCAAAGCAUUCCAGCCCACCAAGUUCAGCUCUGACAACAGCACCUCUCACACAGUCAGUGCACAGAG
rnacentral:lncRNA from 1 species